UAAUACGGAGGGUCCAAGCGUUAAUCGAAAUUACUGGGCGUAAAGCGCGCGUAGGCGGUUUAGAAAGUUGGAUGUGAAAUCCCCGGGCUCAACCUGGGAACUGCGUUCAAAACUCCUAAGCUAGAGUACGAGAGAGGGAAGUAGAAUUUCUGGUGUAGCGGUGAAAUGCGUAGAUAUCAGAAGGAAUACCAAUGGCGAAGGCAGCUUCCUGGAUCGUAACUGACGCUAAGGUGCGAAAGCGUGGGUAGCAAACAGGAUUAGAUACCCUGGUAGUCCACGCCGUAAACGAUGACAACUAGCCGUUGGGCAGAAUUGACUGUUCAGUGGCGCAGCUAACGCAUUAAGUUGUCCGCCUGGGGAGUACGGCCGCAAGGCUA
rnacentral:rRNA from 1 species